AUGGCCACCGGACAGUUGAGCCAGAAUGGUGGUGUGAGGGACGUGAUCCCAGAGGAUGGCAGUGACAGGGGAGGAAACUGUGGCAAUGCAGGGAAGUUGGCUGGAGACCGGGGCAGGACAGAGUGGAGAAGGCUAAACCUGCCCAAAAGGAGUAAGAGUUUAGACUGGAGAGGAAGGGGGGCUAGCCCUGGCGAAGGGCUCAGGACUGGGCUGCUGAGGUUUUCUGGGAACCUAGGGGGGUCCACACUUAAACGAGCAGAGAGUUUGGAGAGUAGGGGGGCAGGAGAGAGCAAUGUGUUGUCCAGGGUGAAGGCCUUUAACUCAGUUGGACCAGGGGAAGUGAAGAGCCCCGUUGGGGGGUCAGGGUGUUCCCUUGGUGAAGGGGUGUCCCCUGUGGGUCUAGAGUAUGUGGCUCUAUCUCUGGAGAGGGCCAGUGGGGGCCAGUCCCUCCCCAUGAGGCUGAGGUCUAGUCCUGGUCCUGGGUCUGGAACCAGAAAACCAGCCUGUGGAUCUCUUGGAUCCUCCAGGGGUCAGAGUAUCUGGGACCGGAUACAGAAGCUCUAUGGGACUACUGGACCUGAUAAAGCUACUAACAGAGAUGAGGAUGUGAAGGACUUGACCAGAACCAAGCGUCUCUCAGCACCGGUAGGAGACGGGUCUCUAUUGGAGAGUGUCUGGUCUCUAUUGGAGAGGGAUGUGAAGGACUCAACCAGAACCAAGCGUCUCUCAGCACCGGUAGGAGACGGGUCUCUAUUGGAGAGGGAUGUGAAGGACUCAACCAGAACCAAGCGUCUCUCAGCACCGGUAGGAGACUGGUCUCUAUUGGAGAGGGAUGUGAAGGACUCAACCAGAACCAAGCGUCUCUCAGCACCGGUAGGAGACGGGUCUCUAUUGGAGAGGGAUGGGGGGAAUACAGCAGCCAAUCACAGGAAGUCCACCACAGACUCUGUCUUUGUCUCCCCCCUCUCCUCCCCCUUUUCCUCCCCCCUCAGUGGAUUAUCCAGGGGGGAGAGGAACGGCCUGCUCUCACACACACCCCUAGUAGAACAGAACACCACACACACACCCCUGGUAGAACAGAACACCACACACACUGCACACACACCACAGAGACAUCAGAAUAGUGCCGUCAAGGUGUCUGGUUUCAGCCCCUCAGUGUCUCCAGUGUCAGGGUGGACCACACCCACACUCUCAUACAAACCCUCACACACACCGUUAGUGGAGGGGUCAUCAGUGUGCAUUAGGGACCCCUCACUAUCCCCUCCAUUAGAAGACAAACAGGAGAGAGGGAAUAAGGAGGUGACAAACACUGUGGGCAAAAAGAGUGGAAGUAGUGAAGACAGCGAAAAGGAGAGAAUAAGGGUGGGGAGCACGGCUCAGGAAAAAGAGAAACGGACUGAUGUCGAAGGAAAAGGACACAAGAAAAAGGAGGUGGAGAAGCGAGGGAGAGAUAACGCUGAAGUCUCUCUCCCCCAGCACAGACUAUCAGUGACACCCACCAGGGACUCUCAGCCUAUCACAACGUCCGGAGUAGGGGUCACCACAGGGUCAAACCCCCUCCUGACCAAUCAGCUUAAUGGGAAAACUGACACCUAUGACAGUAGCAAGACCCCUGCUAGAGGCAUGGCCAGGGAACAGAGCCUGUCAGAAGAUGUGUUUGAAGCCAACACCCCACAGAGGACAACAUUACAGAACACUGAAAAUACCAAGUUACCUGGGAAACUGGUAGUGCCCUCUGCAGCCAGUGUGAGGAACAAGAUCCACCAGUUUGAAGCUCUGACACAGACAUCUCAGGUCCCAGUGCCCAACUACCUGAAGCCCAGACGGGCUUUCUCUGUCCCGGAGCAGCUCAGUGAGUCUGGAGAGGGGGUCAGGAAGAGUGUGCCAGAUAAAGCACUUGGUGGAGGGAGAGGAGGUGAGGUAGUGAGAGAAGAGAGGAAGGCUGAUAGAGGGUGGGCGGUGAGGUCUAUGUCAGUGGAGGAGGUGAGGCUGGGGAGCAGGGAGAGAGGGGGAGUAGGGGAGAGAGGGGGAGUG
ensembl:lncRNA